rnacentral:tRNA from 1 species
GCGGAAGUGGCGGAAUUGGUAGACGCACCAGAUUUAGGUUCUGGCGCCGCAAGGUGUGAGAGUUCAAGUCUCCCCUUUCGC